AUACGGAAGAUGCGAGCGUUAUCCGGAUUUAUUGGGUUUAAAGGGAGCGUAGGCGGAAGGUUAAGUCUGCGGUAAAAUGGCCGUGCUCAACGCGGUCCUGCCGUGGAUACUGGUCUUCUUGAAUGUGCACAAGGAAGGUGGAAUUCGUGGUGUAGCGGUGAAAUGCUUAGAUAUCACGAAGAACUCCGAUUGCGAAGGCAUCCUUCUGGGGCAUGAUUGACGCUGAGGCUCGAAAGCGCGGGUAUCAAACAGGAUUAGAUACCCUGGUAGUCCGCGCCGUAAACGAUGAAUACCCGUCGUUGGCGAUACACGGUCAGCGACCAAGCGAAAGCAUUAAGUAUUCCACCUGGGGAGUACGCCGGCAACGGUGAAACUCAAAUGAAUUGACGGGG
rnacentral:rRNA from 1 species